UGGGGAAUAUUGGACAAUGGGCGCAAGCCUGAUCCAGCCAUGCCGCGUGAGUGAUGAAGGCCCUAGGGUUGUAAAGCUCUUUCAACGGUGAAGAUAAUGACGGUAACCGUAGAAGAAGCCCCAAGUAACUUCGUG
rnacentral:rRNA from 1 species